rnacentral:lncRNA from 1 species
UUUACUAAUUCAGAAAAUAAGAUUUGUUAGCAGAUAGAGAUAUCCGACAUACACCCAGGAACACAGCAUCGAUACGAGUGGAGGAGGGGGGAGACAAGGUGAAGGUCUGGCUGGAGAACUACACUAAAGAGAAGAUACAUGCCAAGAUCCACAUGCCCACCCAUUCACUCACACUGUCACAUGCUCUAACACUGCCACCCGGACAGUGGUCUAAUUUCCUAACGUUGGACUAGACUCUACAAAACUUUUUGGCAAUACUCUGUCCUUAGUUUAUCUUGCCUUAGCUGUUCUAUUGCAGGAAUCAUGCUUUCUCAAACCUGCUAGUGUAUAAUUUUCUAUACACUGUGUAGG